GGGCCGUUAGCUCAAUCGGUAGAGCAACUGACUCUUAAUCAGUGGGUUGUAGGUUCGAGUCCUACACGGCCCACCA
rnacentral:tRNA from 1 species